ensembl:snoRNA LOC120097999 small nucleolar RNA SNORA17
GCCAGCCAUAGAUGUGUUGCAGUUGUGGCUGCAUGGCAUGUGCAUCAGUAGGUGACAGAGAGGAAGGAGGCCAUGUCUACACUCACUGUUUUAAACUGUGAACAUGUGAAUGAUUAGUAGCCUACCACC